GACAGAGGAGGCAAGCGUUGUUCGGAAUCAUUGGGCUUAAAGGGCGUGUAGGCGGCGGCGCAAGUGUCGAGUGAAAUCCCAUCGCUCAACGAUGGAACGGCUCGGCAAACUGCGUCGCUUGAGGUCGGUAGAGGUGCUCGGAACUCUAGGUGGAGCGGUGAAAUGCGUAGAUAUCUAGAGGAACGCCUGAGGCGAAAGCGGGGCACUGGGCCGAUUCUGACGCUGAGACGCGAAAGCGUGGGGAGCAAACAGG
rnacentral:rRNA from 1 species